ACGGCGAGCGGCUGGCUGGCUGGCUGCAGUGUUUUGGUCAGCACUGGUCAAUCUUGCCCUACACGCUCUAUUAACCAGUGUUUCCGUCUUCCCGACACCUUCUUCCUGCACCAAGUACCGUCAAGCAUCACCAGAGAGGCACGAGUACGUAAGCUAUCCAACAUCAGAACAGUAUAUGAAUAUGGCAAAUGCUGUUUUGACAUCAUUUCCUGCCAUCCUGAGAAACAGUGAUCUCGAGGAGCAUGAAUUGCAGCUGCAAUGGAAAUUGCGCAUCCAGCACAAGUUUCAGAAUUCAAGAAAGAGGCAGGAUUCCUCAGUGACUGAGGUGACGUCAAGGAAAAAGAAGAUCCCUUGCAUAGCGCCAAAAGAGACUACGUGUCCACUGAUGUAUGGAGUAAAGGCUUAUCUUCCACCAAGGCCCCAUUCAGAAGAUGAUGAGUCAUUAAAGAGACAUAGACAGUGGCUUGCUCUACAUUGGAUGAAGAAAGAUCCCGAGUUAGAUAAGAUGCUUGCUUAGUUAUAUUGGGGUUACUUCACCUGCUUGGAGAAAGGAAAGACUCCAUUUUUACUAAGGUACCAGAAGAAGAACUAAGAACAGGGCAGUCUAGUGUGUAUUUGAUGGUGCACCUGUAGCUGAACCAACAUGUAUUUCUAUGGCUGUAGUCUCAUUGGUAGCAGGGCUUUGUGUUUAAUAUUGAACACCCAAAAAAUUGUGAACAUUUCCUCCGUUUCACAACAUCCUAUCAAGUAUGACAAAGGUAACACUUCAAAAACAAGAUCUCUACUUGUAAAACUCAAUGAAGUAAAGACAGAAUUGAGCUACAAAAAUGCAUAAAUCUGCUUCCAAAUAUAUUCAACUCCACACAUAAUGCCUCUCUCUCUCUCUCUCUCUCUCUCUCUCUCUCUCUCUCUCUCUCUCUCUCUCUCUCUCUCUCUCUCUCUCUCUCUCUCUCUCUCUCUCUCUCUCUCUCUCUCUCUCUCUCUCUCUCUCUCUCUCUCUCUCUCUCACACACACACACACACACACACACACACACACACACACACACACACUAGUCAAUUACUAGUUAAAGAUUAAUCAGUGAAAUAAAUACAUAACAUUAUGUUAAUAAGUUUUCUAAAAGGAAAAGGAAAUACUUGUACUUCCCCUUCCCCCCAACCCAGUAUUCAUGAAAUCUUACUGAAUUGUUAUCUUAU